AACGAACGCUGGCGGCAUGCCUAACACAUGCAAGUCGAGCGAACAGAUAAGGAGCUUGCUCCUCUGACGUUAGCGGCGGACGGGUGAGUAACACGUGGGUAACCUACCUAUAAGACUGGGAUAACUUCGGGAAACCGGAGCUAAUACCGGAUAACAUUUGGAACCGCAUGGUUCUAAAGUGAAAGAUGGUUUUGCUAUCACUUAUAGAUGGACCCGCGCCGUAUUAGCUAGUUGGUAAGGUAACGGCUUACCAAGGCGACGAUACGUAGCCGACCUGAGAGGGUGAUCGGCCACACUGGAACUGAGACACGGUCCAGACUCCUACGGGAGGCAGCAGUAGGGAAUCUUCCGCAAUGGGCGAAAGCCUGACGGAGCAACGCCGCGUGAGUGAUGAAGGGUUUCGGCUCGUAAAACUCUGUUAUUAGGGAAGAACAAAUGUGUAAGUAACUGUGCACAUCUUGACGGUACCUAAUCAGAAAGCCACGGCUAACUACGUGCCAGCCGCCGCAGUAA
rnacentral:rRNA from 1 species